rnacentral:rRNA from 1 species
UACGUAGGGCGCAAGCGUUAUCCGGAAUUAUUGGGCGUAAAGAGCUCGUAGGCGGUUUGUCGCGUCUGCCGUGAAAACCCGAGGCUUAACCUCGUGGCUUGCGGUGGAUACGGGCAGACUAGAGGUAGGUAGGGGAGAAUGGAAUUCCCGGUGUAGCGGUGAAAUGCGCAGAUAUCGGGAGGAACACCCGUGGCGAAGGCGGCUCUCUGGUCCGAAACUGACGCUGAGGUGCGAAAGCUAGGGUAGCAAACAGG